CCUUGUUCUCUAUGCCUGUGUCUUGUUUAUCUGUGCUAAAGCCUGGUGUUUCUCCCUUCCUAGGGAAUUAUCCUCAGAGCUACACCAAGCUCUUCGUCUCCAUGUAUAUUCCUGGAUCUGGAUCUCAGGUUUCAAGAACGUCCGCAGCUAAGACAGGCUUCUGGUUUCUCAUCCACGACUGGCAGUCCCAAGGCUCCUUAUUACCUGCUUUCUCUGGAUACAACCCUGUCCUCCCUCUGACGUCCACUUCGUUGCUGCUCUGAACAUCCCCGGCCUCCAUUCAGCAUGCAACCGCCACAUGGAGCUCUCCCCCUGGAUUCCUGCUCCCUCUCCCUAGCAUGAAUCUUCCACCUCCAUCAGUUCUGGAUCAAGACCACCAACCAUUAUUCAUUGUUAUUUCCAUAAGCUGUUUUUAAAACUGCCCCCUGGUUUCAUUCUUGAGAGCAUCUGUGCAUGUGGGUCAGGCAAUUAAAUAUAAUCAUGACAAAUUUGUGCUAUAUUACUCGUACACACAAGUCAAUUUCCUCCUAGUUUUAUUUGGCUAGAAUAAUUCACAUGGAAUGAAACAAUUAUAUCAAGUAGAAUAUUCAUCAUAAUGCUAAAAGCUCAAUCUUCAGGUUAGAUUCGAUCAUUUCUGAAACAUUUUACAGAUGUGAUAGCAAAAUUUAAAAUGCUUCUGUCCUUCUGAGGUGACGAUCUGUCUGACCUGACAAUGGCUUCCAUCUGAAUUCCUUCCUGCUCCCUCCUGAUGGGGAGGGGAAAUGUUUAUCACAGAGGAGCCGAGACGCCUAGGAGAGAAUUAAUUCAAUUUCUCACCUCUGCUCUUCCUGGAGGGGGGGCUGCAUUGGGAUUUUACAAUGCUGAUAUAAGAAGGUGUUUUCCCUUUGUCUGGGCAGAACGGGUUUGGUUCAGUUCAGUAACACAUCUGAUGCUGGAAACCUGUCUCCCUUAUAAGGCUAAAUUAAUAAAGCUGAUUGAAUGGUGA